rnacentral:misc_RNA from 1 species
AGCAGCCGCGGUAAUUCCAGCUCCAAUAGCGUAUAUUAAAGUUGUUGCAGUUAAAAAGCUCGUAGUUGAAUUUCGGGGUUAGCAGGUCGGUCGUGCCAUUGGUAUGAACUGGUCUCGCUGAUCCCUCCCUCUCGACGAACUGUGAUGCCAUUAAUUUGGUGUCGCAGGGAAUCAGGACUGUUACUUUGAAAAAUUAGAGUGUUUAAAGCAGGCUCACGCUUGAAUACAUUAGCAUGGAAUAAUGAAAUAGGACGUUUGAUCCUAUUUUGUUGGCUUCUAGGAUUGACGUAAUGAUUAAUAGGGAUAGUUGGGGGCAUUAGUAUUCAAUUGUCAGAGGUGAAAUUCUUGGAUUUAUUGAAGACUAACUACUGCGAAAGCAUUUGCCAAGGAUGUUUUCAUUAAUCAAGAACGAAAGUUAGGGGAUCGAAGACGAUCAGAUACCGUCGUAGUCUUAACCAUAAACUAUGCCGACUAGGGAUCGGAUGAUGUUAAUUUUUAAUGACUCU